rnacentral:rRNA from 2 species
AAGCAGCUUGCUGCUUCGCUGACGAGUGGCGGACGGGUGAGUAAUGUCUGGGAAACUGCCUGAUGGAGGGGGAUAACUACUGGAAACGGUGGCUAAUACCGCAUAACGUCGCAAGACCAAAGAGGGGGACCUUCGGGCCUCUUGCCAUCAGAUGUGCCCAGAUGGGAUUAGCUUGUUGGUGAGGUAACGGCUCACCAAGGCGACGAUCCCUAGCUGGUCUGAGAGGAUGACCAGCCACACUGGAACUGAGACACGGUCCAGACUCCUACGGGAGGCAGCAGUGGGGAAUAUUGCACAAUGGGCGCAAGCCUGAUGCAGCCAUGCCGCGUGUAUGAAGAAGGCCUUCGGGUUGUAAAGUACUU